rnacentral:rRNA from 1 species
UACGUAGGUCUCAAGCGUUGUUCGGAUUUAUUGGGCGUAAAGGGUGCGUAGGCGGCUCGGCAAGUCGGGUGUGAAAUCUUGGAGCUUAACUCCGAAACUGCAUUCGAUACUGCCGUGCUUGAGGACUGGAGAGGAGACUGGAAUUUACGGUGUAGCGGUGAAAUGCGUAGAUAUCGUAAGGAAGACCAGUGGCGAAGGCGGGUCUCUGGACAGUUCCUGACGCUGAAGCACGAAGGCCAGGGGAGCAAACGGG